UGGGGAAUUUUGGACAAUGGGGGAAACCCUGAUCCAGCCAUCCCGCGUGUGCGAUGAAGGCCUUAGGGUUGUAAAGCACUUUUGGCAGGAAAGAAACGUCAUGGGUUAAUACCCCGUGAAACUGACGGUACCUGCAGAAUAAGCACCGGCUAACUACGUGCCAGCAGCCGCGGUAAUACGUAGGAUGCAAGCGUUAAUCGGAAUUACUGGGCGUAAAGCGUGCGCAGGCGGUUCGGAAAGAAAGAUGUGAAAUCCCAGAGCUCAACUUCGGAACUGCAUUUUUAACUGCCGGGCUAGAGUGUGUCAGAGGGAGGUGGAAUUCCGCGUGUAGCAGUGAAAUGCGUAGAUAUGCGGAGGAACACCGAUGGCGAAGGCAGCCUCCUGGGAUAACACUGACGCUCAUGCACGAAAGCGUGGGGAGCAAACAGG
rnacentral:rRNA from 1 species